UACGGGGGGAGCAAGCGUUGUUCGGAUUUACUGGGCGUAAAGGGCGCGUAGGCGGCCACCGCAAGUCGGUUGUGAAAUCUCUGGGCUUAACCCAGAAAGGUCAACCGAUACUGCGGGGCUAGAGUGCAGAAGGGGCAACUGGAAUUCUUGGUGUAGCGGUGAAAUGCGUAGAUAUCAAGAGGAACACCUGAGGUGAAGACGGGUUGCUGGGCCGACACUGACGCUGAAGCGCGAAAGCCAGGGGAGCAAACGGG
rnacentral:rRNA from 1 species